rnacentral:rRNA from 1 species
AACGCUAGCUACAGGCUUAACACAUGCAAGUCGAGGGGCAGCAUUUUAGUUUGCUUGCAAACUGAAGAUGGCGACCGGCGCACGGGUGAGUAACACGUAUCCCACCUGCCGAUAACUCCGGAAUAGCCUUUCGAAAGAAAGAUUAAUACCGGAUAGCAUACGAAUAUCGCAUGAUAUUUUUAUUAAAGAAUUUCGGUUAUCGAUGGGGAUGCGUUCCAUUAGUUUGUUGGCGGGGUAACGGCCCACCAAGACUACGAUGGAUAGGGGUUCUGAGAGGAAGGUCCCCCACAUUGGAACUGAGACACGGUCCAAACUCCUACGGGAGGCAGCAGUGAGGAAUAUUGGUCAAUGGGCGAGAGCCUGAACCAGCCAAGUAGCGUGAAGGAUGAAGGCUCUAUGGGUCGUAAACUUCUUUUAUAUGGGAAUAAAGUUUUCCACGUGUGGAAUUUUGUAUGUACCAUAUGAAUAAGGAUCGGCUAACUCCGUGCCAGCAGCCGCGGUAAUACGGAGGAUCCGAGCGUUAUCCGGAUUUAUUGGGUUUAAAGGGAGCGUAGGUGGAUUGUUAAGUCAGUUGUGAAAGUUUGCGGCUCAACCGUAAAAUUGCAGUUGAAACUGGCAGUCUUGAGUACAGUAGAGGUGGGCGGAAUUCGUGGUGUAGCGGUGAAAUGCUUAGAUAUCACGAAGAACUCCGAUUG